rnacentral:rRNA from 1 species
GGGUUGUGAGGYUAAGCGACUAAGCGUACACGGUGGAUGCCCUGGCAGUCAGAGGCGAUGAAGGACGUGCUAAUCUGCGAUAAGCGUCGGUAAGGUGAUAUGAACCGUUAUAACCGGCGAUUUCCGAAUGGGGAA